rnacentral:misc_RNA from 1 species
ACGUCAUCCCCACCUUCCUCCGGUUUAUCACCGGCAGUCUCCUUUGAGUUCCCGACCGAAUCGCUGGCAACAAAGGAUAAGGGUUGCGCUCGUUGCGGGACUUAACCCAACAUUUCACAACACGAGCUGACGACAGCCAUGCAGCACCUGUCUCACGGUUCCCGAAGGCACUAAGGCAUCUCUGCCAAAUUCCGUGGAUGUCAAGAGUAGGUAAGGUUCUUCGCGUUGCAUCGAAUUAAACCACAUGCUCCACCGCUUGUGCGGGCCCCCGUCAAUUCAUUUGAGUUUUAACCUUGCGGCCGUACUCCCCAGGCGGUCGACUUAACGCGUUAGCUCCGGAAGCCACUCCUCAAGGGAACAACCUCCAAGUCGACAUCGUUUACGGCGUGGACUACCAGGG